rnacentral:tRNA from 1 species
AUCUUUCUAGUAUAAAGUUAAUAUAUGUGACUUCCAAUCACUCGACCUUGGUUAAAGUCCAAGGAAAGAUA